AGGAGCCCGCCUGGAUAACACAGGAAUACAUUUGAGUCUUUUAAUUUCUAGUUACGUUUCAGUAUUAUUACAAUUCAAGUUUUAGUGUUCAAUUUUCGAUAGUAUGUGGUAACAAACACCCAGUUUUACAAACUAGGGCAGAAAGUUCUCUUUGUUUUGUCUAUUUUUGUAGUCAGGAUCCCGCCUUUAGAAUAGAGGAAUACAUUCAAGUUCAAGUUUAUUCAAUUUCAACAAUUUGGAGGGAAAGAACAACAUCUCAGCGCAAGAUUUGAAGUAACAACAAUGAGUUUCACCAAAAAAAAACACAAGGCAACAAGGCAACAAGAGAGAAUACAAGACAACAACACAACAAGGAAGUGCAAGAGAAAGUUUGAAAAUUUUAGAUAGGACAUUUGUAAUUUAUAUUUCAUAGCUUAGGCUAGCUUCUUUUAUUUUGACAUGAUGUAAUAAGGAAGGUCAGCGAGCAGUAGCAGCAUCAAUUGCAGUGAAAUCGCAGCUCCUGGUAGUCCUAGCUACCAAACAUUCCCAUACUACACUGACCUAAUUCCUGUUUAGCCCAUGAUAUGUAGGCAACCUCUGAAGCAGGGUGCGGUCAAACUUUUAAAAAUGCUUCACACAGAAUUUUCAAACGGGAAAAAAUCGCUCGUAUUUGC
rnacentral:lncRNA from 1 species